GCUCUAGUAGUAUACCAGAUUACCCUGGUCUUGUAAACCAGAAAUGAAGGCCCAACCCUUCCUAGAACA
rnacentral:tRNA from 1 species